rnacentral:rRNA from 1 species
UAAAAAUUUACUUAUUUUAGGUAGUAACAGAUUUCUUGAAACCUAAAGAAUUUGGCGGUAUUUUAAAUAAUUAGAGGAACCUGUUAAAUAAAUGACAAUCCACAACAUAUCUUACCUUAAUUAAGUUUGUAUACCGUUGUUUUCAGAUUAUGUUUAAAAAUUAUAAUCAAAAUUAAUUAGUUUUCGUAAAUCAAAUCAAGGUGCAGCAUAUUUAGGUCUUAAUGGGUUACAAUAUAUUUAUAUAUACGAAUUAAUCAUGAAAGUAGUUUUGAAGGUGGAUUUAAAAGUAAUUUAAAAUUAAAAUGUUUAGAUGAAUAAAAAUUUAAAAUAUGC